AUGGGAGGGGGCUUCGGGAAUGGAUGGAGGAGGCUGCCAAAGAAGAAAGAAGAGAAGUUGCUGCCACCAGGCACCCACUCUUGCUUGAUUUGCGAAGCUGCUCACACACUGUGCCUCUGUCUCAGUGUCCUGUUUUGUCUUUCAAGAACAGCCUUAAAACAUUGUGGGUGGGAUUCCCAGGGAGAGUGCGGAUUAGCUUCCUCUAUCAGCUCCAGCUCCAUGACGGGACAUGAGAGAAGCCUCCCACAAGGAUGGUAAAACAUCAAAACAUCCGGGCAUCCACUGGGCAACGUCCUUGCAGACGGCCAAUUCUCUUACUCCAGAAGUGACUUGCAGUUUCUCAAGUCGCUCCUGACACACACACACACACACAAAAAGAUGUAUAAAAAAAUGGGUCAAGGGGAGGGGAGCAUGGUAGUAUUGGAUAGAAACUAUAUAUAAAUGUGAAAAUAACAACAGAUACAAAAAUGUAUUGCAGAUUGUAUUGAAUAUUGAAUAUUAUGGGUCUGCUGUAUAACAAAUGAUGCAUAACAGAUGUUUUGAACCAUGAUAAAAUAAAGAUAUUAUAUAAAAACAAUUCAUAUAUUUAAUAUUACAAAACAGCAGCAAAUCAGGAAAACAUUAAGGUAGGAAAGGAAGAUGAUGAGGGGGCUGGAUUUUGGCAUUUGAAAGCUCCAGUUUCCCAUGUGUUGCAAAAGGUCAGCAAGAGAUUUCUCUUCUGAUUUAAGACAAAAUCCCUUUCGGCACAAAAGAAAUGUAUUGAAAGAACUGUGCAACAGAAUGAAAACAACCGUGUGGAUAUUCUUGCAAGUGCUUUUCCUUUUUUCCCCUCCCUAAUUCAUUCCUAAUUCAUUCUCAGUUAUUUCCCAAUGCAAUUUUGCCUUUCUUUAUUCCUUACAUGCAUUUUAUUUGGGUAUUUAUGGGUUAUUUUAAUACUACUAAUAGCAGCAAUAUUUCAAUUUUAGUCAUAUUGUUUCAUUAUUAGUUGUAUUAGCUAAUGGGGACUCCCUUCUCUUUUUCCCAUUGUGCCUGCGGAUUUUCAGGUUAGGUAUUGCUUGCUAAAGCACUGCAUGCAUAUUAGUGAUUGUGUUACUCAACUUUAUAUUAAUAACAUGCUGAGAGGUAGAGUACAACACUCACACACAACCCUUGCUAUUUGGAAUUUUUCAGAGUUAAUCCCCUUGUACUGGGCUACUAUGUCUCCAAAUAUCACACCCUUCUGUGAAAAAGGGAAAAAUGUGUUUUGGUUGUUUCUAAGGUAAACUUUAAAGGCAUUUAACAGGGAAAUUCCUGCAGCCAUCUCCCUGCCAAACCUGAUCUCCUCUGAUGGGGUGAAGACAUACCCAUAAUUCUUGUAAAUUUGAAGGGGUGGGUGGGUUGAACAACUUAUAGAUUUUUCAAAAUUUGUUUCUUUUUACAAUUCAUAUAAGGAUGGAAAAAAAUUAGAUUUCUGAUUCAGAUCUUUAUAACCCUGGAUGUGAUCCAAAUCAGCUCAAACCAAACUGAAGCAAAACCUGAAUUAUUGAAUUGAACUAUGAGCAAAACUGAAGAUCUCCUGCAGAGCAUAGUUUUGAGAACUCGAAAACCUUUUUCUUCUGCUUCUUUGCUCAGACAGAUGUUAACAUUUUAAAUGGGUUAUCAUUGAAGGAUGGUUCUUUUUCUCUUUUCACGAAUGUGCCUUACAACUGUGUUCUAAAUUUUUAACAUUUUAAUUGCAAGUUUUUUUUAAAUAACUCAUUAGCUGCAUUUCUAAGGUGCUAUUUUUCUUACAGAAAGUUGGAAUAUGUACAGGAUUAAAUAACUGAAUGGUUUAUUUAUUCAAGUCCAAGCUAUAUAUGACAUGAGGUGUGUCUACUGUCCACAUCAGGCACAGGCAAACUAAGGCCCGGGGGCCGGAUGCAGUCCCCUGAGUGCUUACCUCAGGCCCUCCUCAUUUUCCCUGUCCUCUUGGCAUAAGAACACAGUGGCCCACAACACCCUAAUUCCAAAAAGACAGGGGAGGAAGGCA
rnacentral:lncRNA from 1 species